CCUCAUUGGGCAGAGCCACCUGACGAGGCUGGUCAGCAGAAUGGAACUCUCCCCCUACUCCGGGACUGAAUUUAACUCCAGACCUGUGUGGUGACUGAGAUGCAGAAGAAAGUGGCAAGAGGCAGUCUGAGUGAGCAGGAAAGAAGGUCGUUUCUUUGCAUUCUGAUUUAAUCAACAAUAAUGUUAUUAGAAGCAGCUGCCAAACCACGUGCAGUGUCUUCUGAGGACCUUCCGAAACACCUCCGAGGGGACAUCUACACAGGGGUGCAGGAGACGCAGCUUCACGCGCAGACAUCCUGCUUCUGGUCGUCACAGCUCUGCAGCCUCUUUAGGUGGUUACUACGCCUUCUUGUGUUUACUUGUGUUUAUGGAGAGAAGCCAAUGGUUCCUGAAGGUCAGUGGAAGGAAAACUCUUCCUUUCCCUAAAUCCAAGACGCAAAACCUUUCUCAAGAUUCAUAACAAGUCUUUAGU